CCGAGCCAUUAAAAUGUUAUUCUUCCAAGUCGUCCCGCGUUGCUAACAGGGGAAUGGAGACAAAGUGCAGUGUCACUUGGGCUUUGCCUAAAAUGAACGGAACCGUCCUCGGCUGGGCACAAUCGACUAAGUCUGAGUGCCUUACCCCAGCAUCUUCAUCCCUCCAUCAUCACUGACCUUACGGUUCCCGGCCUGUGUCCUCAGAGACCUGCCUUCCCUGGUCAUCGUGUCGCACGCCCAUACUUCCUGCCCUUCACGUGUGCUCCCGGGGUCCUUGGAACUGCUUCCGUGAAUGUCUGACCUGGUGUCGGUUCCCUCCUCUUUUUCUGUCUUAUGCCGGGUGUUGAGGAGUUAUCAGCACAGCGAACACCUCACAGCAAAGUGCAAAUGUUAGCGCAAGUCAGAUGGACAACCCAACAAGGAGUGUCCGACAGGAACUGGGGAAGAAAUGAGGAAGCGUUUCCUGUCAGGUUGAACCUCAUGAAAUUGCUGUUUUUCUGGGUAAACAACAACAAACAAACAAACACCAGUGGAACAUUGACAAUUUCAGGUGGCAUAGAGGAGUCUAAAGGCAGUCCACAGAGGGGGUCGGGGUAAAGGGCGUGGGGAAGGCAGAAGGGCGCCAUCCUGCUGGUUCACUUCCCUGUGGUGGGAGCAGAGGCCGUCUCCUCUGAAACAGUGGGCAUGAGUGGUGCAACGUUCAUGGUGGAGUUGCCGGCGGGUUGACGGGUGGAAACCUCUAAGAGGUGGUGCUGGUGUGGGUGCAGGAACAGAGGGAAACAGUCCAGGUCCUUGGAGGAACUGAGCAGGCAACGUGCCAAAAAAAAA